GACGAACGCUGGCGGCGUGCCUAACACAUGCAAGUCGAACGGAGUUAUUUAUUUAGAUCCCUUCGGGGUGACGAAUUUUUAACUUAGUGGCGGACGGGUGAGUAACGCGUGAGUAACCUGCCUUACAGAGGGGGGACAACAGUUGGAAACGACUGCUAAUACCGCAUGAUGUUUCGAGAGGGCAUCCUCUUGAAACCAAAGGAGCAAAUCCGCUGUAAGAUGGACUCGCGUCCGAUUAGAUAGUUGGCGGGGUAACGGGCCCACCAAGUCGACGAUCGGUAGCCGGACUGAGAGGUUGAACGGCCACAUUGGGACUGAGACACGGCCCCAGGACUCCUACGGGAGGCAGCAGUGGGGGAUAUUGCACAAUGGGGGAAACCCUGAUGCAGCGAUGCCGCGU
rnacentral:rRNA from 1 species